CCUACGUGUGGCUGCAGUCGAGAAUCAUUCACAAUGGGGGAAACCCUGAUGGUGCGACGCCGCGUGGGGGAAUGAAGGUCUUCGGAUUGUAAGCCCCUGUCAUGUGGGAGCAAAUUAAAAAGAUAGUACCACAAGAGGAAGAGACGGCUAACUCUGUGCCAGCAGCCGCGGUAAUACAGAGGUCUCAAGCGUUGUUCGGAAUCACUGGGCGGAAAGCGUGCUUAGGCUGUUUCGUAAGGAGUUGGUGAAAGGAGCUGGCUCAACCCGCGGCCGGCACAUGAUACUGCGAGACUAGCGUGAUGGAGGUGGAACCGGAAUUCUCGGUGUAGCAGUGAAAUGCGUCGAUAUCGAGAGGAACCAUCGUGGCGAAGGCCGGUUCCUGGACAUUAACUGACGCUGAGGCACGAAGUCCAGGGGAGCGAAAGGGAUUAGAUACCCUGGUAGUC
rnacentral:rRNA from 1 species